rnacentral:rRNA from 1 species
GCAAAAAAAAAAAAAAAAAAGCACGCCCGAUCUCGUCCGAUCUCAGAAGCCAAGCAGGGUCGGGCCUGGUUAGUACUUGGAUGGGAGACCGCCUGGGUAUACCAGGUGCUGUAAGCU